CCAGGGCCUCCUUGUUGAAGGGACACUCGGUUACGGACUUCUCAAAUCCGGAGCACUUCACUUCAUUCAUGUGCACCGGCCCCAUCCCUGAAGGGCGACAAGCACGUAGGAGUGUUUGCAGAAACUCUGGAAGCGGCCUGCUGAGGAGUGAAAAGGGAGGAUACCGUGAACGAGACAUUCCAGCGUUAAUUGCCCAGAGGAACUGCAAACCUAUAGUCUUAUCUUAUGAAAUAUGCUUUUGAAGAUUGUAUGAAUGAGUUGUGUUCAUGUGAGUGUGUAGCUGUUUUCUGCUCCCCCUCCCUUCAGGGCUGCACACUGUCAUGUAACUAGGGAGUUCCUAAUUCUAAUAAAAGCAGGGCAAGACUCAGGUGAAGCUUCAGAGCAGAGGCCGAAAUCUGUAACUGGGUUUCAGCUGUGCUCUCCCUGCAGGUAAAACUAAA